UGCGGGCUACCACUUUAUUUACGUGAGGCGAGCAGGAAGUGGCCAAUGGGAAACUUCUAGAGGGUAUUUGGACCCAUGAAGAUUCUCUAUCAGAGCUCUUGAGGUGCUGCUUGGUCAGUUUCCGCAUUGCGAAGUAUACUUCCGUUUUCAACAAAUUCCUGCUUUUGUUCUUUUGUUGCUUUAUUCUUUCUUUGCUUUGCUGGGCGUUUUGUCCAGUUCUUUGUUCAGAACGCCAAAUGAUCUGCCUGCCUCAAUCUCCCACUGUGCUGGGAUCACUGCAAGUGGACAACUUGCAGUCACCCUCUACCGGUGACACUCCCUCUUUGGGGAGACAAAUAGCUUUUCCUCUCUGCUCUGGUUUGGUAGCAGCCAUAAACUCAGGUGGGCCCAGAAUCCGAGGCCCCGCCCGUUAUGUGCUUCUAGCCUCUGCGCGUGCGCAUGCCGGCCGCCAUGUUAACCGCGAGCUCUAGCUGGCGUCUGCGUUUCUUCAGUGGACUAGACGGCUGACUGGGAAGAUUCCAGGAUCCUAACUGGCUUCAGAGUUGAAAAGCCUCUAGAGGUGACCUGUUUUUCCCCUGGCUGCUUUCAGAAUUGUGGGAAAAAAGUCAAAUACCAAGGAA